rnacentral:misc_RNA from 1 species
AAUCUGAUAAACUGGCAAAGAAAACCCUCUGUGCUCAAAAGCUUCUAAAAGAGUUGUGUUCAGAGAUUGAACAACUUCGAACCAAGAAAUUAGAAUGCUGCUUAGGGGAAGAGGAGGAUGGUCUGAAAGGCAUUUUGUGGGAUGAUGUGGUACAUCGGUCUGAUAGUUGGACAGAUUUUCAUGGCGAAGUUUCUGGUGUCGUGUUAGAUAUUGAGAGGUCAAUCUUUAAGGAUUUAGUCGAUGAAAUUGUGAUCGGC